rnacentral:lncRNA from 1 species
AGGCCGCCGCGGCGGCGCCCGCCCGCGCCUCCAUCCGGGUCCUGGCGCGGUGCUCUCCCGGCAGCGACGGGCGCGAGGGCCGGGGCAUUCCCACGGCCGCGACGGCCCUCUCCGCGAGCGCGAGGAUGUACAUGAAGCAUGGCACCAACAGCUGCUCCUGUGAGGCCUCAAGAAGCUUACAAUCGUGGCAGAAGCUGAAGGGGGAGCCAGCGUGUGGCAUGGCAAGGGAAGGAGCAAGAGAGAGAGGGAGGAGCUGCCAGGCUCUUGAACAACCAGAUCUCACGUGAACUCACAGAUUGAAAUUCACUCAUUACUGUGAGGACACACCAAGCCAUUUAUGAGGGAUGCACCCCUAUGACCCAAACACCUCCUACUAGGCCCACCUCCAACAUCAGAGGUCACAUGAAACGAGAUGUAUAGGGGACAAAACAGUCAAACCAUAUCAGUCCCACCAGCAAGAAGGCUCUCACUGGAUGUGGUCCCUUGAUCUUGGACUUCUCAGCCUCUGUAACUGUAAAAAAUAAAUUUUGUUUCUUAUAAAUUA